CGAGGGGUGGGGGUCGCGCCGGGGGCCGGCGGAGCUCCUGUGGUGGUAGCAGCGGUAGCGGGAGACGGAGCGAGUCCAGCGGCCGCGGGCAGACCCGGAGGGAACGGAGGAAGCGGUCAUGUCUCGCUACACGAGGCCCCCCAACACCUCCCUGUUCAUCAGGAACGUCGCGGACGCCACCAGAAGAUCUAAAGCAGUCCACAGUAGCUGGCAAGCACCCCCCAGUUUGAACCAACCUGUUAGCUAGAAUCCAAGCAUAAACCCAGCAGGCGAGACAAAAGGCACCUAAAGUUCAAGCAUCAAGGAGUAAAGAGGGAGGGUGGACACAGAUAUAAAGACCUGGAAGAGGGGAAGUCUUUAUCAAGCAAAAGACAAAGCCAACACCAGGUUGAGACUUCGGCUUUCCUACAUUUACUCAGAGUUCCAGAGUCAAAGCCAAGUCUGAUUUUGUUGGUUCUGCGUCUCUUAUAAAGUCCAUCUUGCAAGCCUUAAAGAGUAAAGGUCAAGGUUCAAGAUCAAGUGACAUUGAGCUAGUCAUAUUUGAAGAUGUUCGAGAUGCUGAAGAUGCUCUUUAUAACCUCAAUAGAAAGUGGGUAUGUGGCCGUCAGAUUGAAAUACAGUUUGCACAAGGUGAUCGCAAAACACCAGGCCAAAUGAAAUCAAAAGAACGUCAUCCUUGUUCUCCAAGUGAUCACAGGAGAUCAAGAAGCCCCAGCCAAAGAAGAACUCGAAGUAGAAGUUCUUCAUGGGGAAGAAAU
rnacentral:lncRNA from 1 species